ensembl:snRNA U1 U1 spliceosomal RNA
GUACUUACCUGGAAGGAGAGAUACCAUGAUCACAAAGGUGGUUUUCCCAGGGUGAGGCUUAUCCAUUCCACACCUACAAUUUCCCCAAACGUGGGAAACUUGACUGCAUAAUUUUUGGUAGUGGGGGACUGCGAUCACACUUUCCCCUA